CUAAAAACCUAGCCCAACAAGCAUGAAUUUUACUAAAUUAACUAAACCCCCUUAACAAACCAUUUUAACAUUCUAGUAAAGGAGAUUGAAAGACUUAUUUGGAGCUAUAAAAACAGUACCGCAAGGGAACGGUGAAAUAUUAUGAAAAACUUCAAGCAGCAAAAAGUAAAGAUUACCUCUUGUACCUUUCGCAUCAUGGUUUAACUAGUCUAACCAAGCAAAACGUAUUUAAGUUUGACUUCCCGAAACUAAGUGAGCUACUUCAGGGCAGCUAGAAGAGCAAACCCGUCUCUGUAGCAAAAGAGUGGGACGACCCUCAAGUAGUGGUGACAGACCUAACGAACUUAGUGAUAGCUGGUUACUCAAGAAACGGAUUUAAGUCCAACCUGAAAGUUUUAUAACCUAAGUCCAUCAAAACAAUCACCUAGCUUUCAGCGUAAUUCAAAUAAGGUACAGCCUAUUUGAAACAGGAUACAACCUAGCCUAAUGGAUAAGAUCAGCCUAACAUACAAUCAAGUGGGCCUAAAAGCAGCCACCUUUAAUACAGCGUCAAAGCUAAAUUGUAACCGAGCCCAAUUACUUAACCCAUAUCUUAAUCCCCUGCCAAUACUGAGUAAUUCUAUAAUAUUAUAGAAAUUUUUAUG
rnacentral:rRNA from 1 species